rnacentral:lncRNA from 1 species
GCCUGAUAAGACAUACAUGGGAGACUAAAAGCUUAAUGACACUCAACUCCUGCCAACCUAGUUCUCACUGUGUGCUUGGGAGAAGGAUUCCUACUCUUGGGUUUCUGUCCCUUCUUCCCCACUCUGGUGUGACUUCCUUGAGAACAGGAAGCAAGGCCACAUGCUGAGCAGGAGGAGCCAGCACAGGGUGGAGUAGUGAAGGGCCACUCUGCCGCAGCCGCGUCUCAAUGG